UACGAAGGGUGCAAGCGUUACUCGGAAUUACUGGGCGUAAAGGGUGCGUAGGUGGCGGGGCAAGUCAGGCGUGAAAUUUCGGAGCUUAACUCCGAAACUGCAUUUGAUACUGCCUUGCUUGAGGACUGGAGAGGAGACUGGAAUUCACGGUGUAGCAGUGAAAUGCGUAGAUAUCGUGAGGAAGACCAGUGGCGAAGGCGGGUCUCUGGACAGUUCCUGACACUGAGGCACGAAGGCCAGGGGAGCAAACGGG
rnacentral:rRNA from 1 species